AUGAUCCUGUGGCUAAACGUGGUGUUCUUCCUAGCAGUCCUGAGAGGUGUCCAGUCAGAGGUCCAGUUGAUGGAGUCUGGAGGGGAUGUGAGAAGACCUGGAGGUUCCCUCCGUCUCUCCUGCCAAGCCUCUGGAUUCACCUUCAGCAGUGAUGAGAUGAACUGGGUGAGGCAGGCUCCAGGGAAAGGACUGGAAUGGGUGGCAGAGAUAAGUACAUCCUCAUCUCCAAUUAGGUACUCGGAUAAAGUCAAGAGACGCUUCAUCAUCUCCAGGGAUGAUUUCCAAAGCCAGCUGUAUCUGCAAAUGAACAACCUGAAAGCAGAAGACACAGGACUCUAUUACUGUACAAGAGACACAGCGAGAGGAAGUGAAUCUCAAGCCGAGCAAAAACUUUCUCUUCCUCUGAGCAGCUCUCCAGCUUGA